UCUCUUUCACUACCCGACUGCCUUCUCUUUCCCUUUCACGAAUACCUUUCCCUCUCACGAAUACCGGACCUUCCUCCCACCUUUCUACGAGCUCUUCUCUGCCUUUUCCUUAGCCCGAUCCUCUGCCUCUCCCUUUCCACGGCAACACCCAACAGGUGGAUUCUCUGCCAUUUCUUUCCCACGGCAAGACCCUUCCUCCCACCUUUCUACGCCACGGCAAGACCCAACAAUCCGACCCAACAGACUGAUCCUCUGCCUCUUCCUUUCCACGGCAAGACCAUUUCUUUUCCACAGCAAGACCCAACGAUUCGACCCAACAGACCGAUCCUCUGCCUCUCCCUUUCCACGGCAAGACACAACAGCCCGAUACCGAUCCAACCUAACAGACCGAUCCUCUGCCUCUUCCUUUCCACGGCAAGCCCAUGGCCACAGAUCCCACCAUACCCGUAUCCACUUCGAUCAAUUUCUAGCUGCAGCCAUAUAUAUAUUGGAACCUGGGUUACAGACUUACAGAGAUAGUGAGUUAUAGAUCUGGAUUUUUCUAUUUGCUUUGGGAAGGACAGCUGCAGCCAUAUAUAUAUUGGAACCUGGGUUACAGACUUACAGAGAUAGUGAGUUAUAGAUCUGGAUUUUUCUAUUUGCUUUGGGAAGGACAGGUUAGCGUGUUCAAGACCAUUUCAGUUUUUUUUUUUUCUUUGGCUAAAUAACUGCCCUUUGGUUAUGUGGUUGCUGUAUAUAUAUUUGUUUUCUAUUAACGAGUUUUAUGGUUGCUGUUUAUUAUGGUCUUUUUUUUUUGUUUUUGUUUUUUUACCCAGUAGAUACACAUUGCAUUAACAGUAAACACAAGGAACAUAUAUGGUACUUACACAGUAACUUCUCAACUAGAAUUGUGUUCUCCUUUGUUAAAUUAUUUAGUUGCACAAAACAUAUUGUAAUUGCAAACAUUGAGAUGAAUGUUCAGUAAGUUUGUGAUUAGCUUUUCUUCUUCUCUUUGUUAUGAAUUCAGUGAUAUGACAGCAUAGAGAGAACUAAUUUGUUAGGGCCUUUUGUU